GCUUUGUCAAUGAUAUGGCACCAGUAGAGGCACACUCAGGCUGCAGGAAGAUGAUGAUUUCUGAGUGCAGACCUGUUGAAGCUCAGCACUCGGACUCCCACCGCUUUCCGCCUUCUGCUUUCUGCGAGACCAGAAUUGCAAAAGAGCAUCCAGCUCCCACGCCUCUGCACCAAACCCGAUGAAAGUACGGCUCACGAAACACUGAAGGAAUUCCUGAUGAUGGGCAAAGUUUUCACUGAAGAUAUUUAUAUUUGUAACAAUCUCUUCCUGUGUAACACUUAAUUUUCCCCUACUUUUUUUGUUCUAAAAGAUUUAUGAUCAUGAGCAUUAACUCAUACCCCACUGCAUAAAGACACAUUCUGAAUUUUUAUCUGUUGUUGAAAUGUGGGAUAUUUGCUAAACAUAAACACAUUUUUUUCCCUCUGUACAUUUUUUGAUGUUGAGAGGAAAAGAUCUGACCAUCAUUUUAAUUAUCUAUUCAUAUAUUUAAAAAUUUUUGUAACUGAAGUUUUUCUUGUAGAAAGGAAAAUGUUAUCUUUUUGCUUUGUAAUUAAAAAAUAAAGGGGCAAAUGUGUACGAGGAUAAUGAUUUUCUAUCACUAUUAGGCUUGCAAAAAUUCAAACUUGUGACCUUAAGCUGAUAAACUUGAGUAUUCUUCAUCCAAUAGCAAUCUUGUGAGUUUAUUUAUUCAUCAUUUAAUUGUCUUAAACUAGACUAGUGACAGUCUAUAUUACUAAUUUGGAAAAAACAUUUGCUUUGUGAAAACAGGAAAAUAAUUAGCACCACAAUCUAAUUCUUUAAGUUAGGCAUACAUAAUAAAAUGUUUUGGUUAAGAUAUAGUUUCUUGAAUGAGAUUGACCUUCAAACAAAUAUUGGAUUCCCAAAUAUCACCAUGAAGAUCUUGAAAAAAUUAUUUCAUUUUUCUGGGCCUUGCUUCCUUAUCAGUAAAUGGAAUCAAUAUGGAUAUGAUUACACAGUGCUUUGAAAAGUAAACAAACAUUGUUUGUAAACUGUACUCUGUAAACCAAGAGACUUAGUUUUUACUGAAAGUUACAGUUAACAGCUUUCAAGCAAUAAUAAUAAUAAUAUUAUAAUAAUAGGAAUGAUGUAGGUACCUCAAUAAGAGGUAUAUAAAAUAUUAAAUAUUCAUGUUAUGAACUUCUAUAUGACAUAAAAUGAAACACUUUUCAUCAAGUGUAGAAAAAUAUAAUGUUAAUUAGGUAAAUGAGAAUAGACAGUAAUAUACAUACAAAAAUAUAUAUUUUUGAAUAUGUUUAAUGUGUCAGGAAUUUAAAAAACUCUUGCUAAACUUGUAUUUUUGGGGAAUGUUAAUGGAGCAUUGAAAGUAGAAAUAUAUAUGUAUAUAUACAUCAGUGUAUAUAUAUAUGCAGCAUUUAUAUAUCACAUAUGUACAGAAUGAACUGAUAUAUACCUACAUAUGCAUACACUAAGUAUGUGUGUAUGUAUACAUGUAUAUACACACAAACACACAAUAAGAAAUAGUUGUAAGGACAAAAUAAAAGACUUGGAGGUUAAAUUGUAAAAAUUGUAGCCCAGAAAAAAUCACAACCCUUUGUUCUUCUGUUUCUUCUCACCUUUCUCUUCGAAGUCAUCCUAUUCUAACUUCUAUUGAUUCUCUGACACUUUCCAAGGCUCUAACUAACAAGAAAACUGUUUUAAAAAUCAAAUUUAAGGCUUGGGGAGUAGAAGAGCACUUUUCUAACAGGUGGGAGACCCUAAGUUUAUUACCCAGUACCACAAAAGAGAGAAAUAAAAAAUUUAAAGUAAAUGGUAAUCCUAUGUAGACAGUAAUAGAAUU